GGUGAACGCUAGCUACAGGCUUAACACAUGCAAGUCGAGGGGCAGCAUGGGCUUAGCUUGCUAAGCCCGAUGGCGACCGGCGCACGGGUGAGUAACACGUAUCCAACCUUCCGGUAACUCCGGUAUAGCCUUUCGAAAGAAAGAUUAAUCCCGGAUAGUAUGGUGAUUCCGCAUGGUUUCUCCAUUAAAGGAUUCCGGUUACCGAUGGGGAUGCGUUCCAUUAGGCAGUUGGUGGGGUAACGGCUCACCAAGGCGACGAUGCAUAGCCGACCUGAGAAGGUGAACGGCCACACUGGGACUGAGACGCGGCCCAG
rnacentral:rRNA from 1 species